GGAAAAAUAAAGUCAUAAAGCAUACUCUGACUUGACAUGACUUUAGCCUGCCAUCAUUUUGCACACUGUGACCAUCCUGUAACCAGUUAACCGAGAUACAUCUCAAUUUGUCCGGCGCUCAGGCCUCAGCUGCAGCCGGAAGUGUUGGCCUAGGAGUAGGACAUGGAUAAGCAGAGGCAGCAGAGCUUGUUAAAUUGAUGAGUUGAGAUGUGCUCUUACUUCACCAUCUGGAAUUCUAGUCUAGAGUUCUGCUGAAAGCUGCUGACCUGGGACUCAACUCUUCAAC
rnacentral:lncRNA from 1 species